rnacentral:rRNA from 1 species
AUUGAACGCUGGCGGCAUGCUUUACACAUGCAAGUCGAACGGCAGCGCGGGCUUCGGCCUGGCGGCGAGUGGCGAACGGGUGAGUAAUUCAUCGGAACGUGCCCAGUAGUGGGGGAUAGCCCGGCGAAAGCCGGAUUAAUACCGCAUACGACCUGAGGGUGAAAGCGGGGGACCGAAAGGCCUCGCGCUAUUGGAGCGGCCGAUGUCGGAUUAGCUAGUUGGUGGGGUAAAGGCUUACCAAGGCGACGAUCCGUAGCUGGUCUGAGAGGACGACCAGCCACACUGGGACUGAGACACGGCCCAGACUCCUACGGGAGGCAGCAGUGGGGAAUUUUGGACAAAGGGGGCAACCCUGAUCCAGCCAUGCCGCGUGCGGGAAGAAGGCCUUCGGGUUGUAAACCGCUUUUGUUCGGGAAGAAAUCCUCUGGGCUAAUACCCCGGGGGGAUGACGGUACCGGAAGAAUAAGCAGCGGCUAACUACGUG